rnacentral:misc_RNA from 1 species
CAGAGUUCAUGCCCUUACGGGUAGAUCUCCCACCCUUGAAUACUAUACCUUUGUUGCUUUGGCGGGCCGCUUUGGCUACUGGCUCCGGCUGGUGAGUGCCCGCCAAAGGACCCCAAAACUCUGAAUGUUAGUGUCGUCUGAGUACUAUAUAAUAGUUA